rnacentral:rRNA from 1 species
CCUACGGGUGGCAGCAGUGAGGAAUAUUGGUCAAUGGACGAGAGUCUGAACCAGCCAAGUAGCGUGAAGGAUGACUGCCCUUUGGGUUGUAAACUUCUUUUAUAAAGGAAUAAAACGAGGCACGUGUGCCUCUUUGCAUGUACUUUAUGAAUAAUGAUCGGCCAACGCCGUUCCUGCAGCCGUGUUAAUACUGGGGAUCCGAGCGUUGUCCGGAUUUAUUGGGUUUAAGGGGAGCGUAGAUGGGUUGUUAAGUCAGGUGUGAAAGUUUGCGGCUCACCCGUAACAUGGCAAUUGAUACUGGCAGUCUUGAGUAAAGUAGAGGUAGGCGGAAUUCGUGGUGUAGCAGUGAAAUGCGUAGAUAUCGAGAAGAACCCUGAUGGCGAAGGCAGCUUACUAAACUGUGACUGACAUUGAUGCUCGAAAGUGUGGGUAUCAAACAGGAUUAGAUACCCGAGUAGUC